AGCGAACGCUGGCGGCGUGCCUAACACAUGCAAGUCGAACGUGAAAAGGGAAACCUGAGUAAAGUGGCGUACGGGUGAGUAACGCGUAGGUAAUCUACCCCAGAAUCUGGAAUAACCUGCCGAAAGGCGGGCUAAUACUGGAUAGAGCGAGGGAACUCGUAAGAGAGUUUUUCGGGAAAGGGAGCCCGCAAGGGCCUUCGUUCUGGGAUGAGCCUGCGUCUCAUUAGCUAGUUGGUAAGGUAACGGCUUACCAAGGCGAUGAUGAGUAGCUGGUCUGAGAGGAUGAUCAGCCACACUGGAACUGAAACACGGUCCAGACUCCUACGGGAGGCAGCAGUGGGGAAUCUUGCGCAAUGGACGAAAGUCUGACGCAGCCACGCCGCGUGAGUGAAGAAGGCCGUCGGGUUGUAAAGCUCUGUCGGAUGGGACGAACAUCUUCAUAGUGAAUAGCUAUGAGGACUGACGGUACCAUCGAAGGAAGCACCGGCUAACUCCGUG
rnacentral:rRNA from 1 species